rnacentral:tRNA from 2 species
ACGCAAAUCCGUUGGCUUUUUUAGACCGUGAGGGUUCAAGUCCCUCUACCCCCA